rnacentral:rRNA from 1 species
CAGCAGCCGCGGUAAUACCGGCGGCCCGAGUGGCGGUCACUAUUAUUGGGCUUAAAGCGUCCGUAGCCGGGUUGGGAAGUCCUCCGGGAAAUCUGGCCGCUUAACGGUCAGAAUGCCGGAGGAUACUCCCAGCCUAGGGAGCGGGAGAGGCCGAGGGGUUUCCCGGGGUAGGGGGGAAAUCCUAUAAUCCCGGGAGGACCACCGGUGGCGAAGGCGCUCGGCUGGAACGCGUCCGACGGUGAGGGACGAAGGCCAGGGGAGCAAACCGGAUUAGAUACCCGGGUAGUCCUGGCUGUAAACGAUGCGGACUUUGUGUCGGACAAGCUAUGAGCUUGUCCGGUGCCGGAGGGAAACCGUUAAGUCCGCCGCCUGGGGAGUACGGCCGCAAGGCUGAAACUUAAAGGAAUUGGCGGG